AAGGUGCGCGUGCUCGCUGGUCCUAACGGUUCUGUUGGGCGUUUCUGCUGAGAGGCGGGAGGGGCUGAGAGUCUGUGCGAAGGUAGGUGGACAGACUGCAUUGCUUGUUGUUGCGCUUCGGAGGCGGCGAUCCCCGAAGGCGAGCUGAAAUACGGCUGGAGCGUUCCCAGGCUACAGUUUGUAGCCGACGAUUGUGGAAGACUAGGAGCCGGAGAGGUGGCCCACCCUCAGGGAGCGCUUGUGCUCGGAGGGCUUCUCAUUUCCCCAAUACCACAUUAAAUCGUCUCAUCUGAGGAGGAUCCACAGAGCUGUCUUCUAUGGUAAUCUGGAGAAACUGGAGUACCUUCUGCUCACGUAUCAUGACACCAAUGAGAGAGACAAGGAGGAAAGCAUCCGGUGAAAGACAGAGAUCACAUUUCAACUAGAUUCUUAGGAAGUAUGGAUUCACUAACUUCAGCGAAGCUUACCCUGAAAGAAGCAGAUCCCAGUUCAAAAGUAGCCAUAAGAAGGAAGGAUUCACCACCUCCAGGAAAAGGUUGCCUGUUCACUCUGAUCGUAGUAUUGGAAGUUCUGGCCAAGGCAAUCAGACAAGAGGAAAAAAUAAAGGGUAUUCAAAUAGGAAGAAAGGAAGUCAAAUUGUCUCUGCAGAUGACAUGAUUGUAUAUUUAGGAAACCAAAUCGUCUCAGCCCCAAAUCUCCUUCAGCUGAUAAGCAACAUCAGCAAAGUCUCAGGAUACAAAAUCAGUGUGCAAAAAUCACAAGCAUUCCUAUACACCAAUAAAAGACAAACAGCCAAAUCAUGAGUGAAUGCCCAUUCACAAUUGCUGCAAAGAGAAUAAAAUACCUAGGAAUACGACUCACAAAGGAUGGGAAAGACCUCUUCAAGGAGAACGACAAACCACUGCUCAAGGAUAUAAGAGAGGACACAAACAAAUGGAAAAACAUUCCAUGCUCAUGGACAGGAAGAAUCAAUAUCACGAAAAUGGCCAUACUGCCCAAAGUAAUUUAUAGGUUCAGUGCUAUAGACUACCAUUGACUUUCUUCACAGAAUUAGAAAGAACUACUGGAAAUUUCAUAUGCAACCAAAAAAGAGCCCAUAUAGCCAAGACAAUCCUAAGCAAAAAGAACAGAGCUGGAGGCAUCACGCUACCUGACUUCAAACUAUACUACAAGGCUAUAGUAAUGAAAACAGCAUGGUACGGGUACCAAAACAGGGAUAUAGACCAAUGGAACAGAACAGAGGCCUCAGAAGUAACACCAUACAUCUACAACCAUAUGAUCUUUGACAAACCUGACAAAAAACAAUCAAUGGGGAUAAGAUUACCUAUUUACUAAAUGGUGUUGGGAAAACUGGCUAGCCUUAUGCGGGAAACUGAAACUGGACCCUUUCCUUACACCUUAUACAAAAAUUAACUCAAGAUAAAUUAAAGACUUAAACGUUUAAGUAAGACCUAAAACCAUAAUAACCCUAGAAGAAAACCUAGGCAAUACCAUUCAGGACAUUGGCAUGGGCAAAGACUUCAAGACUAAAACACCAAAAGCAAUGGCAACAAAAGCCAGAAUUGACAAAUGGGAUCUAAUUAAACUAAGGAACUUGUGCAGUUUUAUUUGGGAGUGUGCAUGAGGUACCUCUGAGUUUUAAAAAUGAAGAAAGUAAGUGGUCAUGCUUUCCUGACUCUUUGGUAGACACAGCCUUUUAAGACGGUGAUUCUGAGCUGUUAUGGUUUUGGGUUUUCUAUAAUACUAAAGCUUACUGCCGACAUGUAACCAAAAGCUUGAAUUAAUGAAAAAAAAAUUACCCAAAUGCACGUUAAAAACCUCUUACAACAUAUGUGCACAUUCAUAGAUAACAUGUAGAACUUUAUUUUGUGUUAAAAAGCUUGUAGAAAAGUUCAGGCA
ensembl:lncRNA ANKRD36BP2 ankyrin repeat domain 36B pseudogene 2